GCCGGGCGUGGUGUUGUGUGCCUGUAAUCCCAGCUACUUGGGAGGCUGAGGCAGGAGAAUCACUUGAACCUGGGAGAGCGGAGGUUGCAGUGAGCCGAGAUUGUGCCACUGCACUCCAGCCUGGGUGACAGAGUGAGAUUCCUUCUCAA
rnacentral:SRP_RNA from 1 species